rnacentral:misc_RNA from 1 species
GGAACUCUCUCUUAAUGGCUCUGCCGUGGAAGAAAUACCCGAUUCUAUUAAAAAUUUGAAGAACCUUCAUACACUAAGCUUAAUUAGGUGCAAGUCACUUGCUGCUCUUCCCCAUUCUGUUGGCAACCUCAAAUCUUUAGCAAAUCUCUGGCUUUAUGGCAGUGCAAUAGAAAUUAUACCAGAAUCUAUCGGUUGUCUAUAUUAUCUUAGGUCCUUAUCACUUGGAAACUGUCAGCAGUUGACUGCAUUGCCUGUUUCAGUUAAAGGAUUGGCUUCUUUGGUUGAGCUUCAAAUAGAUAAGGUUCCGAUCCGUUGUCUUCCACAUAUUGGAGCCCUUAAAUCACUGAAGACUCUCGAGAUAAGGAACUGUGAGCACCUUGGAUCACUACCCGAUUCCAUUGGAGAAUUAUU